UAAUGAAUGUGAAAGAAGAUCAAAGCAAGCUUUCUGCUAUUGCAAGGCAAGGUUCAGGCAGUGCUUGUCGCAGCCUGUAUGGUGGAUUUGUCAAGUGGAUCAUGGGAAAAGAUAAGGAUGGAAAAGACAGUCUUGCAGUUCAAUUUGCAGAUGAGAAGCACUGGGAUGAUCUUGUUAUUAUUAUUGCUGUGGUAAGUUCAAGGCAGAAGGAAACGAGUAGCACCACUGGAAUGCGUGAAACAGUUGAAACUAGUUAGCUUUUAAAACAUAGAGCAAAGGAAAUAGUACCAAAACGCAUACUACAAAUGGAAGGAGCCAUAAAAAAUCGUGAUUUUGCAUCUUUUGCACAAUUGACCUGUGCUGAUAGUAACCAGUUUCAUGCUGUUUGCCUGGACACAUCUCCCCCAAUUUUCUACAUGAAUGAUACAUCCCAUAAGAUAAUCAGCAUUGUCGAAAAGUG